rnacentral:rRNA from 1 species
UACGUAGGGUGCAAGCGUUUAAUCGGAAUUACUGGGCGUAAAGCGCACGUAGGCGGAUCUAUAAGUCAGGGGUGAAAGCCCCGGGCUCAACCUGGGAAUGGCGAUGGAUACUGGCGGGGCUAGAGUGCGGUAGAGGGUGGUGGAAUUCCCGGUGUAGCAGUGAAAUGCGUAGAGAUCGGGAGGAACAUCAGUUGCGAAGGCGGCCACCUGGACCAGCACUGACACUGAGGCACGAAAGCGUGGGGAGCAAACAGGGA